AUUUACGGAGAGUUUGAUCCUGGCUCAGAACGAACGCUAGCGGCGUGCCUAACACAUGCAAGUCGAGCGAGAAAGGGAGGCAACUCCCGAGUAAAGCGGCAGACGGGUGAGUAAGAC
rnacentral:rRNA from 1 species